rnacentral:rRNA from 1 species
UACGAAGGGGGCUAGCGUUGUUCGGAAUUACUGGGCGUAAAGCGCACGUAGGCGGGUUUGUAAGUAGAGGGUGAAAUCCCAGAGCUCAACUCUGGAACUGCCUUCUAGACUGCAAGCCUGGAGGUCAGGAGAGGCGAGUGGAAUACCGAGUGUAGAGGUGAAAUUCGUAGAUAUUCGGUGGAACACCAGUGGCGAAGGCGACUCGCUGGACUGAUACUGACGCUGAGGUGCGAAAGCGUGGGGAGCAAACAGG